rnacentral:tRNA from 1 species
GCCUAGUUAGCUUAGUUGGUGGCGCGUCUGCCUUGUAAGCGCUAGGCCGCGGGUUCGAUUCCCGCCCCGGGCG